rnacentral:lncRNA from 1 species
GACUUAGCCUCAACAGUUACGGGAGCAAAGUUAUAGAGAGUCAUUAUCUUGAUUUAAAUAACAGAAGCAAAACCCAGUGACAGUGACCAUUCAUUGGUAACAAAACUCAAAAAUCUAAACGAAAAUCCCAUAUCAUCUUUCAAGGACUGGUAUCAUGGAAAGGCCCUAAAUUGGCAAAUAAUUUUGAUGUCUACUCAAAAAGCAGGGAAACAAAUGCUUGCUGCUCUCCUGUAUCUCAUGUUCCUGUUCUCCAACCCUGUCCUCAGAAACAUGCUUUCCUCCAAAGAACUAUAAAACAUUUACUUACUUUUGUUGAGGCCAGAAUUCAUGUUAUUGCCCCAUGCUCCUCUUCUGACUGAGUCAUAAGAAGGGUCUAAUGAACAAUAACAAAUAGGGGUACAUUAGCAUCGCCUGCUUCUCAGAAAAGUUGCAUGAGCAUUAUCUGUAGUGAUCAGGAGAAAUAAAAUUCAAUUCAGCAAUGGCUUUUAAAGCAUCCCUAAAUUCUGGAAGUGUACUCACCCCCUGGGGUUGGAACAUUAACACUCUGACUUUGAGAAGAUUGUAGUCUUAUCUGGGAGCCAAAGUAAUGGGAAGAACCUGAAUGUGAAGUCAGAGGAUUGGUUCAAGUUCUCUUCCUGACACUAUUUGUUGUGAAACCUGGGAUGAAUCAAAAGUCUCCUCUGGGCUUCAAUUUUAAUAUGGAAAUAAAAAUUUAUGUUUUAUCUACCUUGUGGGGUUGUGGAAAUGAUCAAAUGAGAUAACAUAUGGAAAAGCACCUUAUGAAGCUUUCUACAAAUAUAAACUGACACAAGGUUAGACAUUUUUUAAAUGUCCAUAGUUCUGUAGCAAAAUCCUUCAAGCAGCUCUGAAGAGCAGGCAAGGUCUGGAUUGGGUGAAAGGCCCAUAAGAAGGGUGUCUCAAAGCCCAUGGCCAUGACAUUCCUGGGGGCUGACUCCAGUCCCCGAUUUCAGCACAUGGAUGAUGUGGGAUGACAUCACAGCGGUGGGAGCACAUUCCAGGCUCUCUGAGGGCUCUCGGGCUUUUCUAUUGACAGUGGAGAGGGCUGGGCUGAUGACCACAGAGAAAGGGAAGAGGCCAGAAAUGUGGCUGGGAAAGGGGCUGGAUCAGGAAAUGAGAGGUUGGAGACCUGCUCCCCACCUGGGCAUGACUAAGGGCUUGCUUCUCAAUUGUCUUGGAGAAUACUCCUCAAAUCUGAACUUUUGUGAUCGUAACCCCUUUCUUGAAAGAUUCCACAUGCUUCCAUAAACGUGUUGAGAAAUUGCUUAACUAACUAGCUGGAAACUUCUUCCUUCCCUUUCUCUUGGUAUGAGUCCCUUUGAGACAUUGAGCAGGAAUAGCAGAGGAGCUUGAGGAUACAGAAUUAUGACCUUCAAAGUUAUUCCAUGCCCUUCAGCCCCUUCUGAGCCUCUCAAACAAAUUAGAAUAAGAGUUGGGAAGACGGAUGGACUCUG